rnacentral:lncRNA from 1 species
AUGAAAAUGUUUGAAAAUCAUUUUGUUUUAAAACAAAGAUGCAUGGUUUGAUGAAAAUGAUUCUACGAGAGAAGCCAAGACUUGAAUCUAUUGUUGGAUCAAGAUCACAAUAUAAAUGUAUAUCUUCGUUGCUUUACUUGAUCUUGUUCUUUGUUUCUCUUGUGCUUGGACUUCGGCAUAUGUCAAUGUUCCAUGCGCGUCGGUUUGUCAUUUAUCAAAACCUACAAAGAUGAACACACGUUUAGUUUUAGCGAUUUGAGAAC